UUCACAUAACUCCCAGCUAUGAGCUGGAUAAUGGAGCGGAAUUAUCUGUACAUGUUACACACCCGGCACUGACAUCUCCGGCCUCGGUACUCAGGACACUCAGCGUUAUAGGAGUUUCUCCCAAGUUAUUAUCCAUCAUGGCCCCGGACCGUGUCAUCCAUGAUGAGCAGGUGACUCUGACCUGUCCAAUCAACGUAUUCAAACCGCGAGCUUUGACCAUCACCUGGCUGAAGAAGGACCGGAACCAGCAAGAGACCGAACUGGUAACAUGGACUCCUGCGGGCUCCACCACUCACAAUGAGAAAUAUUCACACAAUCUAAAGGGAGAUGAACAUGAGGAUAAAUCUUAUAGUGUUCUCAGCGCUCUGACCAUGAAAGCAACCGUGACAGACGAUGACGGAGUGACCUAUAUCUGUAGAACCUUCCACCCUGCAACAAAUCUCCGAGACCAAAGAGAGGAGACCAUGAGAGUGACCGCGGUUCCGGUGCUGGACCCCAUACAGAAGGUUCAGGACGUUGUUCAUGUCGGUGAGAAGCUGGAUCUGUCCUGUAGGAUUCAUUCGUUUUAUCCUCGGGACAUACAAGUCACAUGGUACACGGAGGAUGACGUCAUAAUACCAUCACAGACCACUGAUCCCCUCCAGGAAUAUGGCCACCUGUGUCAUGUCUCCAGUACUUCCAGUUACACCCCAACAAUGGAGGAUUUGGGGAAGAACGUCCGAUGUGAGGUUCAGCAUGACAGUCUAUCGAAUCCUAAACACGUCAUUCUGACUCUGACACACAUAGUCUCUGCGCCCGUUCUGGGUGACAUACGGAGUGUCCCUGAAACUCCUGAGCCUGAGAAGCCGGUGACAUUAUCCUGUGCGAUCGAUAAUAUGUAUCCUGGAGAUCCCGCCAUUCAGUGGUAUCAGGGAAUAAACAAACUUGGGGGAUGGGAAACGAACAUCCAGGAUGACAAGGAGUCCAAAAUCUUCUCUGGAACCACAGAGCUGACACUCAUCCCGACAUCUGACUGUCAUGGAGAUGUGAUCCGUCUGGACAUCAUUCAUAGUGGAAAGGUCUUUACAAAAGAAUAUCCCCUCCACCUGAAAGGGCUCCCAUUGCUCAGUGAGAUCACCACCAUUGACCCCAGAACACCAGACUAUGGAAAGCCUCUGACUCUGCGCUGUGAUGUGAUCGGCUGUAAUCCUGAAGACAUCGCUCAGAUCAUCUGGUCGGAGAGAGGAGAGGAGAGAAGGAGCCACAUGGAGGGCGUUCUGUCCUCUUCCCUGACUAUAAGACCCACAGCUCGGGAUUAUGGGAAGGCCUAUUCCUGCUCUGUGACACACAAGGAUAUGAAAAAGCCUAUUGUGAAAAAAAUACACCUGAAGCUCCCAGAGAGGCCGCCCACAUUAUCGGACAUUAUUGUGCGUCCAGCGGGAGUGAGAGCCAAUCAGGAAGCCUCAUUCCAAGUAACGUUAUCCGGAUUCUCCCCCCGAGACCUACAAAUAAAAUGGUAUAAGGAGUUCAGCACAUUUCCCCAAGCCCAGGUGACAAUGUCGGAACCAGAGAUCGGAUCGGACAAUCUGUAUAAAUGUUCCAGCACGGUGACAUUCAUCCCGGGGACGAGUGAUCAUGGGACGUCCAUCCGAUUUGAGGUGACGCACAACAGGAAUGUCCGAGAGAAGAGAUACACUCUGAACCUGAAAGGCCCGGAGAAGAAGUUUGGUAUACGGGAGAUCAGAUGUGUGACGGAGCGCCCCCGGGUGGGGGAGGAGGUGACUCUUGUAGCGUACAUUGAAGAAUGUCAGGCGGACAGUGCGGAGUUCACCUGGUAUAAUGGAAUGUUUAAUGUUGAUGAAGGAAUAGAGAACAUACAAGAUGGCGGUGACUGUACAUCCUCCGUCACCUUCACCCCGGAUCCCGGCACAGAAUGUACAAUCAAAUUGGAGGUGUUCUAUAACUAUCAGACUGUAGAGGAAUCCUACACACUGCGACUGGGGUGAGGACCCGACGCU